rnacentral:lncRNA from 1 species
CCUCUCCCCCUCCCCCCUCCAUAACUCAAAAGCCUGUCAAGCUGGUUCCAGACUCCUGGCGCCGGGCUCCGCUCCAGGAAAGAAAAAAAGGAAAGAGAAAAAGGGAAAAAGCCGGCGCGAGGGAGCGAGAGAGGCCCGCGGAGCAAAACCGUGCGCCCCGGCACGCACAGCCCCGCGGCCCCCGACCCCCCACGCCCCUAACCCUAACGGGGAUCCCAGUCCUAGGGACACCGGGCGCGUGCGCGACCCCAAUCAGUUAUUUAUGGGCGAAUUAAUUAUGUAGCUGCCAUGGGCGGGGGGGCCGGCAGGGGCCAUGCGACGCGGAGACCACCCGGCCGCGGUGGCGGCUCUCCUGCCGGGCCUCGGGGUCGGGAGGCGUCCCCACGCCGCCCGGGGAGGAUCCCGUUGUGAGAAAGCUGCCUCGGGGUGGGGUCCGGGAGGAGCGCGGGGGAACCUGAGGAAGCGGGAGAGACGGCUCGGAGACCUCCCAAUUAGACUGGGAGGGGAGAGGGGGGCGGGCGACGGAGCUGGAAAGAGCGGGCCGCGGAGACCGGGGCGUGGGAAGAGCCUGGCCUAGGCAUUUCUUCCCUUCCUUCCUUCCUUCAUCCCCAUCCUUACUGCGAGCCCACUACGUGCCACUGCGCCCACAGCAGAGGGCGGUAUUAGGGAGGGGUUAGGAGCAGGAAGGAAUUUCGAGGUACAGCUGGGUCCAAAUCCGGAUUUGUAUCCUAUACUCCCCUGCUGUGUGGCCUUAGGCAACGGCUUGCCCUCUCGGAGCCUCCACUUCCUCAUCUGCCAGUGGUCUUCAGGACUUGGGAGAUGGGGCGCUUGGGCAGAGAGUUUGUGGGGGCGCGGUCGAAGGGAGGUCCUGUCCUUGGGAAACUUUACAUAGAGGGGAACAUGCCCAGUCCCCCAGUAUUCCCCAUCUCGAAGCCCCGACUUUGGGUCUCAUAUAAUCUGCCUCUCCCCGGGGCCCACACAUUUGAAGGUCGUUAUUAAAACCACACCACCCCCAAGGCCACUGCUCAGGACGCUCACCCCUAGCUGGCUUCUCACCAGCCUGGCCCUGCAGAAGGUCGUGCAUAUGGCAGCCAGAGGGGCUCAAUCUAGUCCUUUUACUCCCCACCUCCGCUGCCUCCCCCGACUCUGCCCUUCACAUCCCCACCUGGGUUCUCCUUCCAACCUGCUUCUAGUCUGGGCUAGGGAGAUUGGAGCCCUGAGGCCAUGGGGGCUACGGGGCAGUGAGAACAGGGGUGGGGGCUCAGCUGGCCCUCCCUGGACAAGUGUCCCCCUUAUCUGGAGUGUCAAGGCGUUCUACUUCCAAGACUCAGAAGUGAAGGAGGCUUCCGUUUGCGACCCAGGAUUGCCUAGGGGUUUGCCUGUCUUCUUUCACCAAAACUUGCAAUAACUCUGUUAGGUGAAUGGGGCAGAUCCAGGUUUUAUGGGGCCUGAAGGUUUUACAAUCCUGGGGACCCACUUGAAGAAGAAUAGUGCAAAGUUAUGAAUAGGCGGUUAAGCUCAGGGCCUUGGUAAAUGACAGUCCCAGGAGCUAAAGCUUCAUUAGCCCCUCGGUAACUCACCUCUGUAGAUGGACAACACAACUGUCAUCCCUUUGCAGAGGUGGAAACAAAGCUUAGGCUGGCCCAAGGUCACAACAGGUAGAAAGGACAAGCUGGGAUCAAACCCAGGUCCCACCCCACAGGCAGCACCCUGAACUAACUGCCUCAGUAGGAAUGCCACCUUCCAUAUCAUCUACCCCAUGCCACAUCUCACCUGUCCCCACCAGUGCCCAGCCCAGGCAGGGUCAGUCAGAACAGCCUUUGCUUCCAGAACAGUCUGUGUCCCUCCCUCCAGAGGCCUCCAUGUCCCAAGGCUCAAGCCUCAGAGAUACUGUCUUGUGACAACACUCACAGAUCUAAGAUGAGGACACUGAGGCUCAGAGGGCUGACAUGCCAAGCCCCAGGGCACAGGAAGGCAGGCCUCUGCUUCCACCUCACAUCCCCCAGUGCCUCUGGAAACCGCAGCCUGUGGAGGGCCUGAGGUCGCUUAUCACCUGUCUCUGCAGCUCAUCCUCAGCAAAGACUGAGGGUCCUUGAUGCUGUCCGGGUCCUUGAUGCUGUCCCCAUCUUUAUGCCAGGUCUCAUCUCAGAGGCAGGCUCAGGAAGGGAGCUGGGAGAUGCCGGCAGAGGGCCCAGGAGAGGCACACUGCCCACCAGCUAGGAGCUGCUUCUGACCUCGCUGGCCGAUGGCCGGGGACCCUGGCCCCUCCCAACCCCAGGGACACAAAGCAGAAGAUCCCAGAAUGGGGAUGGGGAGAGAGGACCAUCUUGUUCAACUUCCUCAUUCUAUACCAGGAAAACAGGCAUCGGAGAAGGGAAGAGAUACCUCAAGGUCAACGCCAAGUCCAGCAGCUGCUGCUCUCCUGAGUCCUCCACGUGGACUUCUUCUGCGUUCCCACAUCUCAUUCCUCCAAUUUUUUUUUAAAAAUUGUUAGUAGUAGCAUAAUACUAAGAAAGCACUAUUCAAAGGAACAAGAAGACCCACCGUGUGCGGAACGGUCACUGUGCACCAGGCAACGUGACCCGCAAUUUUCUCUCCUAUAAAACGGGGAUGAGAACAGGGCCUCCCCUGCUGACUCAUGGGAAGAGGUUAAGAUCAAAGGUGACAGUGGACAUGAAUCAGCAUUUUAUAAACCACAAGACAUUGUCACCAUGGCUAUCUUUGGUUUUUAUUAUUUAUUUUUUAAUUUUUUAAUUUUUAUUUUUUGAGAGCAGGGUCUCACUCUGUUACCCAGGCUGCAGUGCAGUGGUGCAAUCAUGGCUCUCUGCAGGCUCAAAUCCUGGGCUCAAGCAAUCCUCCACUCAGCCUCCUGAGUAGGUGGGACUAUAGGUGUGUGCCACCUUGCUAUUAAAUUACCUGGCUAUGGCCGGGCACAGUGGCUCACACCUGUAAUCCCAACACUUUGGGAGGCUGAGGCGGGUGGAUCACUUGAGGUCAGGAGUUCAAGACCAGCCUGGCCAACCCCGUCUCUACUGAAAAUACAAAAAUUAGCUGGGCAUGGUGGCACAUGCCUGUAAUCUCAGCUGCUAGAGAGGCUGAGACACAAGAAUUGCUUGAACUUGGGAGGCAGAGGUUGCAGUGGGUCGAGAUUGCCCCACUGCACUCCAGCCUGGGUGACAGAGCGGGACCCUGUCUCCAAAA